rnacentral:rRNA from 1 species
GACGGAGGGUGCUAGCGUUGUUCGGAUUUACUGGGCGUAAAGGGCGCGUAGGCGGCCUUCUCAGUCGGGUGUGAAAGCCCGGGGCUCAACCCCGGAACGGCACCCGAGACGGCCAGGCUGGAGACCGGGAGAGGAGGGUGGAAUAGCCAGUGUAGAGGUGAAAUUCGUAGAUAUUGGCUGGAACACCGGUGGCGAAAGCGGCUCUCUGGCCCGGUUCUGACGCUGAGGCGCGAAAAGCGUGGGGGAGCAAACAGG